rnacentral:rRNA from 1 species
GAUGAACGCUGGCGGCGUGCUUAACACAUGCAAGUCGAGCGAUGAAGUUUCCUUCGGGAAACGGAUUAGCGGCGGACGGGUGAGUAACACGUGGGUAGCCUGCCUCAUAGAGUGGAAUAGCCUUCCGAAAGGAAGAUUAAUACCGCAUAACGUUGAAAGAUGGCAUCAUCAUUCAACCAAAGGAGCAAUCCGCUAUGAGAUGGACCCGCGGCGCAUUAGCUAGUUGGUGGGGUAACGGCCUACCAAGGCGACGAUGCGUAGCCGACCUGAGAGGGUGAUCGGCCACAUUGGGACUGAGACACGGCCCAGACUCCUACGGGAGGCAGCAGUGGGGAAUAUUGCACAAUGGGGGAAACCCUGAUGCAGCAACGCCGCGUGAGUGAUGAAGGUUUUCGGAUCGUAAAGCUCUG